rnacentral:rRNA from 1 species
UACGUAGGGUCCGAGCGUUGUCCGGAAUUAUUGGGCGUAAAGGGCUCGUAGGCGGUCCGUCACGUCGGGAGUGAAAACUCGGAGCUUAACUCCGAGCCUGCUUCCGAUACGGGCAGACUAGAGGUAGGCAGGGGAGAGCGGAACUCCUGGUGUAGCGGUGGAAUGCGCAGAUAUCAGGAAGAACACCAGCGGCGAAGGCGGCAUCCUGGACUGGUCCUGACACUCAGGAGCGAAAGCGUGGGGAGCGAUCCGG